CCUCUUGUGGCAGGUCCUAAGAAAAGGCAUGUUUACAAGGAGGGAGGUGACUAAAUCUUGGUAAGACACUAGACUUAGUGAACUCAACUCUGUCCAGCUGGGUUCCUCUGAUAAAAUACAUUUCAGCAAGAGUUACCUCAAGAAUUCCUUAAUCCCUAAUCCUUUUUGUAAACAAGGCAUUGAAUAAAUGUAUUGCUCAUCCCUCUGAAAAAGACCUUUUGAAAGUGGCAUUCUUAUUUUACCCAGCAGAUCUGUUUUACUUCCUCCAAAGGGCUGACAUUAAUACCCACUGCCUUCCCCACUCCUGCCAAAAUAAAAUUCCAUAUUAAAACCUCCCACAUGUCAACGUUCCAAUGUGAGAACCACAUAUAUGCCCCAGUUCAGAGGCUGGAACCUAUAAUCUCCAAGGGCUGCAUUUUCUUAGUCACCAUAGAGCAAGGCUGGGGUAUAAUCCCAGCUCCACCCCAAAGUCUACUUGCUUGGGGCUAGUUACUUCUCUGAAAGUCAGUUUCAUCUGUGAGAUGAGCUGCCUUGCAGCCCUUCAUUCAUCCAGUCAUUCUACAAAUGUUUGUACCAGAGAUGAUCACAAUAGGUGCAGUGCAGGGAACGCCCUUCACUCCAGAGUUGCUGAGUGAUGAGUCAUCCUCGAGAAAGUGGGUAAGUGGAGCAAACAGGGGACCAGAGGCCACCAGAACUUAUUACUGGUCUCUGGGAUCAAGUCACAGGUUCCCAGGGAAGGUGACUGUAUGUGUGGAGGGCGUUUGUUACAGAGGGCCAUUGCAAUCAACAUCUAGAGAAGGGAUUUGGGGAAGGGGAGGAGGAAGUCAAUGCGGAGACCCUGCAUGAUGCCUCAUUACUGCAAUCAUGAGCUUCAGCUUUCUGACACAGGAUCAUGGCAACUGAUCAUCUCGAGUGGAAUAGUACAAUUCCAUGACUUCAAAAAUUGUCCUGGUGCCUCCUUAUGGACACUCCCCUUCAUUCAUCACAGCCCCUGGCAGCCAAAGUAUGAUGACCUUUCCAUACUUUUUCCAAAGGGACUUUGCCUUUUCCAAAAUAUUACAUAAGUGGAAUCAUCUGUGAUGUAGAUUUCUGAGUCUUGUUUCUUUCACCAAACACAACAUCUUGGAGAUUCAUCUGUGUUGUUGCAUGUAUCAGUGACCAGCUCCUUUUUAUUAUUGAGCAUUUAUUAUCCCGUGGCACAGAUAUAUGCUACAGCUAAUUUAUAUCUAUUCACCUGUUGGAAUCCAUUAGGUUAUUUCCAGGUGGGGCAAUUACAAACAAAUAUGCUAUUAUUUCACAGCGGUUUUGUGUGGACAUAAGUUUUUAUUUUUCCUGGGUAAACACCUAGGAGUGGGAUUACUGAAUUGUCUGGUGAGUAUAUGUUUGGCUUAAUUAGCAGUGGCCAAACUGAUUUCCAAAGUGACUCUACCACUUUGUUUUCCUAUCAGCAAUGAAUGUAUACUCACCAGUAUCUGGUAUUGUCAUUGUCACUCGUUUUCAUUUCAGCCAUUCUGAUGGGCACGUAGAGAUUUUGUCUAUCAGCAGUGCUAUAUGAAUAUUCUUAUACAUAUAACCUUGGUGAUUAGUUGUGAGUGUGUCCAUAAGAUACAUUCUUAGAACUGCCAUUGGUGGGUCGUAAGGUGUGAAAAGUUGAUUAGAUAUUGCCAAAGAGCCUUCUGAGAAGGUGGGGCCAAUAUAUACACAUACCAGCUAGGAUUGGUAAUGUCUGUUUCCCCACAUCCUCAACACAGCGUCUUGGGUUAUUGCUGUGUGAGUAUCUACCUCAGAGGGUUGUUGGUGAGAACUUGAAGUAAAGUAUUAGAGCCGUGCCUGUCAUACGCAGAGUGGCAGUGGAUGUCAUCGUAUGAUUACCACUACAAACCCAUCGAUCACAUUAUUAUUUGUCUUUCUCUGAGUUUCUCAUCAAGAUAUAUGAGAGUCCUUUUUCUCUGAGGAGCUCAAACAUUCUACCUACAGAAUUUGGUUAAUCCUUAUAAAUCUCUUCAGAUGUUGGCCAGGAAUUCAGGCCCUGUGGGUUUUACAGAAUAGGGAAGUAUGACACAAUAGAGUCUUUCUAAGUUUACAGAACAGAUCUGUGUUCCACAAAGUCAAAAUUAAUCUCCUUUGGAAUGGGAAUGGACUCCUCUAGGUUACAAUGGCCUUCAAAUGUUUUUUUUUGUGUGUGUGUGUGUGUGUGUGUGUGUGUGUCUAUCUACUUUAAGAAAUACACCAAAAGCCAGGUCACAACAUUCUUACCCAAAACAGAAAUUAAAAAAAAAAAUACUUCUUUGUUUUCUAUUUGUUCCAUCCCAUCUCAUUGAAAAUAUGUUCAUUGGGAGCCACUGAUAAAUAGAUUUCAGAACCUACUAUGGGUUAAGACUAGCAAUUUAAAGGGCACUGUUCUGGGAUCUAGGUCACAGGCAUAGACCUUCCUGGCAAUGGAAGGAAUCACAUAACUGGAUUCCUAACUGGAAGCACAGAGUCUCACACUCAGUUUUGGGUAAAUUAUCUCCAUUAUUCCCAUGUUUUUUCUUCUUCAUAUAUUUGGGAUGGUAGAGUUUAUUCGUUCCUCAAUUAUUCACAAAUAGCUUUUGGACUCCUUAGGAGCACUACCCAUAAUUAAGUGCCAGGGGAAGAGAACAGGCUUUGAACAGCAAGAGGCCUGGAUGCAAAUCUCACCUCCACCAUUUGCUCAUGAUCUUGAUUUAAGCCUUAUCGGUCAUCCAAGACUCCGUUUCCUCCUCUGUAAAAUGGGAGUUACAGUAGAGAAAUCACUGAGCCAACAUAUAUAAAGCAUUUAGCACAGUGUCAGGCUCACAGUUAAGUCCUUAACACAGUGAGACCAGCAGCACCAGCAGCACCAGAGAACUUGUCAGAAAUGCAGUUCUUGGAGGGCGCCUGGGUGGCUCAAUGGUUGAGCUUCUGCCUUUGGCUCAAGUCGUGAUUCCUAGGUGUGAUCCUGGGUUCCUGGGAUCAAGUCCUGCAUCAGGCCCGCUGCAGGGAGCCUGCUUCUCCCUCUGCCUAUGUCUCUGCCUCUCUCUCUCUGUCUCUCUAAAAUAAAAUAAUUAGAAUAGAAUAGAAUGCA
rnacentral:lncRNA from 12 species